AGGGUUCGAUUCUGGCUCAGGAUGAACGCUGGCGGCGUGCUUAACACAUGCAAGUCGAACGGGAUCCAGGCAGCUUGCUGCCUGGUGAGAGUGGCGAACGGGUGAGUAAUGCGUGACCGACCUGCCCCAUACACCGGAAUAGCUCCUGGAAACGGGUGGUAAUGCCGGAUGCUCCGACUCCUCGCAUGGGGUGUCGGGAAAGAUUCUAUCGGUAUGGGAUGGGGUCGCGUCCUAUCAGGUAGUCGGCGGGGUAACGGCCCACCGAGCCUACGACGGGUAGCCGGCCUGAGAGGGCGACCGGCCACAUUGGGACUGAGAUACGGCCCAGACUCCUACGGGAGGCAGCAGUGGGGAAUAUUGCACAAUGGGCGCAAGCCUGAUGCAGCGACGCCGCGUGCGGGAUGACGGCCUUCGGGUUGUAAACCGCUUUUGAUCGGGAGCAAGCCUUCGGGUGAGUGUACCUUUCGAAUAAGCACCGGCUAACUACGUGCCAGCAGCCGCGGUAAUACGUAGGGUGCAAGCGUUAUCCGGAAUUAUUGGGCGUAAAGGGCUCGUAGGCGGUUCGUCGCGUCCGGUGUGAAAGUCCAUCGCUUAACGGUGGAUCUGCGCCGGGUACGGGCGGGCUGGAGUGCGGUAGGGGAGACUGGAAUUCCCGGUGUAACGGUGGAAUGUGUAGAUAUCGGGAAGAACACCAAUGGCGAAGGCAGGUCUCUGGGCCGUUACUGACGCUGAGGAGCGAAAGCGUGGGGAGCGAACAGGAUUAGAUACCCUGGUAGUCCACGCCGUAAACGGUGGAUGCUGGAUGUGGGGCCCGUUCCACGGGUUCCGUGUCGGAGCUAACGCGUUAAGCAUCCCGCCUGGGGAGUACGGCCGCAAGGCUAAAACUCAAAGAAAUUGACGGGGGCCCGCACAAGCGGCGGAGCAUGCGGAUUAAUUCGAUGCAACGCGAAGAACCUUACCUGGGCUUGACAUGUUCCCGACAGCCGUAGAGAUGCGGCCUCCCUUCGGGGCGGGUUCACAGGUGGUGCAUGGUCGUCGUCAGCUCGUGUCGUGAGAUGUUGGGUUAAGUCCCGCAACGAGCGCAACCCU
rnacentral:rRNA from 1 species